UACAGAGGGUGCAAACGUUGUUCGGAAUUACUGGGCGUAAAGUGUGCGCAGGCGGCUUCGCAAGUCGAGUGUGAAAUCCCCGAGCUUAACUUGGGAAUUGCGCUCGAAACUACGGAGCUGGAGUGUGGCAGAGGAAGGUGGAAUUCCACGUGUAGCGGUGAAAUGCGUAGAGAUGUGGAGGAACACCGAUGGCGAAGGCAGCCUUCUGGGCCAACACUGACGCUCAUGCACGAAAGCGUGGGGAGCAAACAGG
rnacentral:rRNA from 1 species